UGCUACACAUGCAGUCCGACGUGAAAGGGGAGCAAUCCCCCGGUAGGGUGGCAAACGGGUGAGUAAGACAUGGGUGAUCUGCCCUGGAGAUGGGGAUAUCCCUCCGAAAGGGGGGGCAAUACCGAAUAGUAUCCGGUUCCGUGAAGGGGGCCGGGGAAAGGGAGGCCUCUGGUACAAGCUUCCGCUCCUGGAUGAGCCCAUGGCCCAUCAGCUAGUUGGUAGGGUAAAGGCCUACCAAGGCGACGACGGGUAGCUGGUCUGAGAGGACAACCAGCCACACUGGCACUGAGACACGGGCCAGACUCCUACGGGAGGCAGCAGUGAGGAAUAUUGCGCAAUGGGGGCAACCCUGACGCAGCAACGCCGCGUGUGGGAAGAAGGCUUUCGGGUUGUAAACCACUUUUGCCCGGGACGAAAGGGGGGACCUGAAUAAGGUUGCCCGAUGACGGUACCGGGAGAAUAAGCCACGGCUAACUCUGUGCCAGCAGCCGCGGUAAGACAGAGGUGGCAAGCGUUGUUCGGAGUUACUGGGCGUAAAGAGUCUGUAGGUGGUCUGUCAAGUCUUUGGUGAAAGGCCGUGGCUUAACCAUGGGAAUGCCAAAGAGACUGGCAGACUGGAGGCUGGGAGAGGGAAGCGGAAUUUCUGGUGUAGCGGUGAAAUGCGUAGAUAUCAGAAGGAAGGCCGGUGGCGAAGGCGGCUUCCUGGAACAGACCUGACACUGAGAGACGAAAGCGUGGGGAGCAAACAGGAUUAGAUACCCUGGUAGUCCACGCCCUAACGAUGAAUACUAGAUGUUUGGUGCCUAGCGUACUGAGCGUCGUAGCUAACGCGAUAAGUAUUCCGCCUG
rnacentral:rRNA from 1 species